AGUGAACGCUGGCGGUAGGCCUAACACAUGCAAGUCGAACGGCAGCACAGUAAGAGCUUGCUCUUACGGGUGGCGAGUGGCGGACGGGUGAGGAAUACAUCGGAAUCUACUUUUUCGUGGGGGAUAACGUAGGGAAACUUACCCCAAAACCCCUUACGAUCAACGGGGGAAAGCAGGGGACCUUGGGACCUUGGGGGAUUGAAUGACCGGAUGUCGGAUUAGCUAGUUGGCGGGGUAAAGGCCCACCAAGGCGACGAUCCGUAGCUGGUCUGAGAGGAUGAUCAGCCACACUGGAACUGAGACACGGUCCAGACUCCUACGGGAGGCAGCAGUGGGGAAUAUUGGACAAUGGGCGCAAGCCUGAUCCAGCCAUGCCGCGUGGGUGAAGAAGGCCUUCGGGUUGUAAAGCCCUUUUGUUGGGGAAGAAAAGCAGCAGGUUAAUACCCCGCUGUUCUGACGGUACCCAAAGAAUAAGCACCGGCUAACUUCGUG
rnacentral:rRNA from 1 species